rnacentral:lncRNA from 13 species
GCAUAUCCACCAGCCUUCUGGACACCAACGACAAUGAAGCAGGCACUGAUCUGAUGUUGCUGGACAGCUCUGUGGCCCACAGCCUGGAGGAGCUCAGCCUGGCCUGGCAGGUGAGCAGGUGCAACUUCCCUGCCUCCCUCCGGUUGAGGCUCCUUGAGGGCUGCUCACUGCAGAGUCCCAGGAGAGGCAGGUGGCCUGCUGGCUCUUCAGAGGUCUUUGCAGGCCCAGGGUUGGGGGGAGUCUCCUGCUGAGGCUGAUGUAUGUGGGGCAGCCACAUGGUCCAGUGGGAGGCCUGAGUCUUGUGUCUGUCCCACCAGGUGGAUGGUGACUGCAGGGCCACCAAGAAGACUCAAAAGCCCUGCCCAGGACAGAGCUCCACCAGCUGGGCCUUCCUCCAGGACCCCUGCUCCAGCUUGGGGAAUUGCUUCUGGGUGGUGAGUGUGAGCCUGGCCCCUGGGGCACAGAAAGCUCUUUCCCCCAUCUAGCCUAGUCUCCUCCUCCAUGCCACUUCCCAGGGUAGGGACAGUGACUGAGUGGCCCUGAUUUCAGGUGGACCCUGCACCAUUCCUCAGCCUGUGUGUGCAGGACCCCUGUGGCACCUGGGAGCUCCAGCCUGCCUGCACUCUGGUGGCCACCUACAUCCACCUGUGUGCCCACAGCUUUGUGUCCCUGGCCUCUCCUCCACAGUGCGCUCCUUGACAAGGGCAAGAUUCUUGGCUGGGACAGAAUAACUAGCAUGGAAUGCUGGGAAACUCAGAACCACAUGUGCUUCAAAUGCAGGGAAAAAGAGUUGUUUGCCAUUGUGCUCAAAAUACUUCUGAAGACAUGAAACUCUCCCACUGAUCUGGGUAAUUCUCCCUCUUCUUCCACACCUCCACUGUAAACCAAAAGACAGCAUGGCCAGCGAGUCCCAGCCCUUCAGAGAUUGCUCUACCUCGCUCCUGUUCAUGCCCAAGGUGGUGAAGCCCUCUAUUGUCCUGACCCCACAGUUCCUGUCCCAUGACCAGGACCAGUGCACCAAGGAGCUGCAGCAGCAUUUAAACCAAGACCAUAAGAAACCCUGGGAGCUCAGGAAGGAAGAAGCCGCCCAGAAGCAGGAACAGGGAGCUGGUGGGGAAGACCAGAAAUCAGAUCUGUGAAGGUUCCAUAGAGCCUUGGGGCAUUGGAGGACGUGGGUGCUCCGUGGAAUGUCCACUGAGAUGUACCACGUUCUGGGGCUGGGGAUUGGUGGAGAGGGAGUAUAAAGCCCCAGGGUUGCUUAGGCAGUGCCCAGGCAGGAGAAGGUGUGGUUGGAAACCAGAGCCCUGGUCUCUGUCUAAUUGCUCCUGAGCCUCAUACUUGCUGGCCCCGAGUGUCCUGUGGCUUUCCUGAUAGACUUUCUCAAUGACUUGUAGCUGAACCUCCCAAUCGCCCUUGAGAACCUAGUUUGAACCAGAUCCUUUCCCAGACUCCCUCCUCCAGGUGCCCAACAUCCCCCUUGUCCUCCCUCUCCUUCUCCCACAUCCCCCUCCCAAACAGAUCCCAUGCCAUCCACAUCCCCUUCCCUCCCUCUGCCCUAAGCCACCCCUACCUCUGUCCUGGCCACUUCAGGGCGUGCUGACUGUACCAGGACAUGCGGGUACAGUGGAUGCUCUUUUGGCUCCUCCUGGGGUUUCCCAGCCAUCAAUCCACCCAUAUGAGUAGACGCUGGACCCCUGGAGUUUCUUCUUUGUUAUUGGGCUGUCAUGUGGCAUAAUACAUAGUGCAGGCCUGUAAUUUCAGUGCUUUGGGGGAUUAAGGUGGGCAGAUGACCUGAGUCCAGGUGUUUAAGACUAGCCUGUACAUAAGAGAAAAACCCCAUCUCUACAAAAGGUUCCAAAAAUGAUUAGGCGGACACCCACUGCAUUCUUGUCUCAAACAGAAUAAACCAAAACAAAGUGAAAUAUCA